GAUGAACGCUGGCGGCGUGCCUAAUACAUGCAAGUCGAGCGAACGGACGAGAAGCUUGCUUCUCUGAUGUUAGCGGCGGACGGGUGAGUAACACGUGGAUAACCUACCUAUAAGACUGGGAUAACUUCGGGAAACCGGAGCUAAUACCGGAUGAUAUUUUGAACCGCAUGGUUCAAAAGUGAAAGACGGUCUUGCUGUCACUUAUAGAUGGAUCCGCGCUGCAUUAGCUAGUUGGUAAGGUAACGGCUUACCAAGGCAACGAUGCAUAUCGGACAUGAGAGGGUCGUCGGCCAGCCUGGAACUGAGAAACGUUACCGACUCCUGCACGAGGAAGCAGUCGAGAAUCUUCCGCGAUGGGCGAAAGCCUGACGGAGCAACGCCGCGUGAGUGAUGAAGGUCUUCGGCUCGUAAAACUCUGUUAUCAGUGAAGAACAUAUGUGUAAGUAACUGUGAAGAUCUUGACGGUACCUAAUCAGAAAGCCACGGCUAACUACGUG
rnacentral:rRNA from 1 species